UACGUAGGCAGCAAGCGUUGUUCGGAGUUACUGGGGUAAAGGGUGUGUUGGCGGGUCUUUAAGUUUGGGGUGAAAUCUCCCGGCUCAACCGGGAGGGUGCGCCGAAUACUGAGGGACUAGAGUGUGGGAGAGGAAAGUGGAAUUCCUGGUGUAGCGGUGAAAUGCGUAGAUAUCAGGAGGAACACCGGUGGUGUAGACGGCUUUCUGGACCAUAACUGACGCUGAGACACGAAAGCGUGGGUAGCAAACAGG
rnacentral:rRNA from 1 species